rnacentral:rRNA from 1 species
AUGGAAGCAAACAAGAACAGAUCUCAGAUGACUGGCCUUGAUCUGAAUGCAUUACCGGAAGAAUGCAGUGAUGCAGUUACCUGGACUGAUGUGCAUUGUUCUGCUUUGGAAGAUAGUGUGUCCCUGGAGGAUGUUACUAUUUCCAAGAAGCAUCGCCGUGCUUCCUGCCCUGCACCUUUGGAUGUCUCUGAAUUGCGUCGCAGUUCUCGCCGCACCAGGUUCCAAGGAUUUAAGGAUACAUUUGUUGCUAAUCGUCCCAGGAGGCGCCCCUUAGUCAAGCCCCUCCCCUCUUCUACAACUGCAGCUGGCCCACAUGAAAGAACAUGCGGUGCCCCCAUGUUUGGUUUUGGUAAUUGA